CCUACGGGAGGCAGCAGUGGGGAAUAUUGGACAAUGGGGGAAACCCUGAUCCAGCGACGCCGCGUGAGGGAAGAAGUAUUUCGGUACGUAAAGCUCUAUCAGCAGGAAAGAAAAUGACGGUACCUGACUAAGAAGCCACGGCUAACUACGUGCCAGCAGCCGCGGUAAUACGUAGGGGGCAAGCGUUAUCCGGAUUUACUGGGUGUAAAGGGAGCGUAGACGGCAGGGCAAGUCUGGAGUGAAAUGUCGGGGCCCAACCCCGGAACUGCUCUGGAAACUGUGAAGCUGGAGUGCAGGAGAGGUAAGCGGAAUUCCUGGUGUAGCGGUGAAAUGCUUAGAUAUCAGGAGGAACACCGGCGGCGAAGGCGGCUUACUGGACUGUAACUGACGUUGAGGCUCGAAGGCGUGGGGAGCAAACAGGAUUAGAUACCCUAGUAGUC
rnacentral:rRNA from 1 species